AUUGAACGCUGGCGGCAGGCCUAACACAUGCAAGUCGAGCGGAUGAUGAGGGCUUGCUCUCUGAUUUAGCGGCGGACGGGUGAGUAAUGCCUAGGAAUCUGCCUGGUAGUGGGGGAUAACGUUCCGAAAGGAACGCUAAUACCGCAUACGUCCUACGGGAGAAAGCAGGGGACCUUCGGGCCUUGCGCUAUCAGAUGAGCCUAGGUCGGAUUAGCUAGUUGGUGAGGUAACGGCUCACCAAGGCGACGAUCCGUAACUGGUCUGAGAGGAUGAUCAGUCACACCGGAACUGAGACACGGUCCAGACUCCUACGGGAGGCAGCAGUGGGGAAUAUUGGACAAUGGGCGAAAGCCUGAUCCAGCCAUGCCGCGUGUGUGAAGAAGGUCUUCGGAUUGUAAAGCACUUUAAGUUGGGAGGAAGGGCAGUAAGUUAAUACCUUGCUGUUUUGACGUUACCGACAGAAUAAGCACCGGCUAACUUCGUGCCAGCCGCCGCCGUAAAAC
rnacentral:rRNA from 1 species